UGCGUUUCUCUUUAGUGCGUGUGAGCCUUGAGUGCUUAAGUUUGUCCCACAUCGAAUUUGGGAGGGGGAUUUGGGUAGUUUAUUAGGCUCCUCAGGAACCACAAGAGUUGCCGGCUUUUGUGGUUUCCUGUGGAUAAAGUCUCGUAAAAUGCAAAAGUCAAUCUGCUUGACUAGACAAAAAAGACAGACUGUCUGCUUGGGGUGUGCGUUUUUCUUUAGUGCGUGUGAGUCUUGAGUGCUUAAGUUUGUCCCACAUCGAACUUGGGAGGGGGAUUUGGGUAGUUUAUUAGGCUCCUCAGGAACCACAAGAGUUGCCGGCUUUUGUAGUUUCCUGUGGAUAAAGUCUCGUAAAAUGCAAAAAUCAAUCUGCUUGGCUAGACAAAAAAGAUUGGGCUGUCCGCUUAUUUAAUAAAAAACAAAUACAUUCAUUAUAAUUUGUUACUAGCUCCCUCAUUUUCUUUUGGAAAAAAAAAUGCCCUAAUUGUUGAAAUCUGCUUCUUUGUAUUGUUAAUACUUUUCAAAUUUGUAACAAAAGUAGAAUCUUAAAAUUAUUAAAAUUUUAUAACAUGAAAUUGAUUGUAAUGUACCUAACCCGAAUUCAACUCGUUUUACUGGUUUAUAAGUUUAACUACCCCCUUCCCCUCUCUCAUUUCCAUCUAAUCAUUGAGAAAAAUCUUAUUUAAUGUUUCAAGUGUUUAUCAUUCUUGGCAUGAUUUGCACUAAAUAAAGAACCAAAAAAAAAAGGGAAAAAAGGCUCAGAAACUAAAUCUAUUUUAUUAGUAAUAAUAGUAAAAAAAGAAAAGAAAAGGCUACAUUGGCUGAAAUUUAAUUUGUAGGACUUAAAUUAGAUAAAAAAUUAGAAAUCCAUUUGAAUUGCCAUUUUUAAAAAUUUUUGUAAAAAAAUAUAUUAUAGUGAUUUGAUAUAUAUAAAGGAAAAAUUGAUUGAAAAAUGUGUUAACAAGAAUGUAAAUUUUUUUUUUUGCGGAAAAUUACAAUACAAACAAUUUUUCUUUUCCAAACAGGCCAGGCCCUAAAACCCUCCUCUUGCCCCUCCCUUAGUUAAGCAGUUAAACCACGGCUAUCGUUGCCAAAAACCCUGCGAAUAUUUUACUACCAGAGAAGAAAGAAAGGGUGAAGAUGACGGGAUUUUGGAGAAACAAGUUUUACUAUCAAAUCUCAUUCUCCAUAAUCAACAAUGCCCCCAUGAAAACCAUCCCACUUUCUCCUUCUUCAAUUCGAACUCUUUUCACUCACUCGAAUCCCACAAAAUAUCUAAACCCCCAUUCGAACCCUUCUAAGUUAAAGAAUGCUUUUGUAUUUAACUUGAUUUCGCGGAAUUAUUCGCAUUCCUCGUCAUCCAUGCCUGCCCAUCCAUUUUUUGCCUCCAGACGAAGCCCUGGCUUUGCUGUAGCUAAAUGCUUAUCCUCGGUUUCGUCGUCGCCGAAUACCGUGGGCUGGAACGACGCCGUUUCCUGCUCGGAAAUUGGGGAUGGUGGGGCAAGUGAAGCUGAAGUUACGACUUUGUCGGAGGUGGAUGAUGAUGAUGAUGCAAUUGCUGGUUCUAUUCCAGUUAGGGCUUAUUUCUACUCCACUAGGUUUGAUUUUCCAUUUUUUUUUUAAAGUUUCACUUUUUUCUUCUCAUCUUUUCGAAAUUGGGAAGGAAAAGAUCCUUUUUUUUUCUUUUUAUCCUGGCAAUUGUUAAUUGUAUGGAGAUUGUAUGUGUGAACUUUAUUAAUGAUUAAAGGUGAUCAAUAUGAUGAAUUUUUUUUGCGAGCUGUUUUAGUCUUUCUUUUUAUUCUAUAAAAGAUACUCCUACCGAAUUUAGUACAAAGAAACAAUUUUGACACUUGUUUUGCACCCGUCAAAUUCAAAAUGAAAAUGGAAAAACAAAAUUUGAGCUUACAAUAUGUAUAUAUUGCAAGUUCCUAGUAAUGUUUGUCAAUAUUUAGGCACUUAUGAUUAAAUUUUUUUUUCCGACCGUUGGUUAGCUUCCAUUGGGGUGAUAAGCCUUUGUGCUCUGUGGAAAGUAUGAAUGUUUGUUAUGAUGAUUUUUUUUUUUUUGCAGUGUGGACUUAAGGGGCUUAAUGGAUCAAAACAAACCGAAUUUAAUUCCACCCUCAUCUCGUAUGACUAAUUAUGUCGUCUUAAGAUUUGGCAAGCGCAAGUCCGAGCCCAAUGUAAGUUUCUCUUCUAUCUCAUCUCUCCUUUGACAUUCACUAGUUGAACCAACUUUAGGCGGUAAUUUUUGGGAAAAAAAAAGUUGACUGUGGCUAAUGCAUUUUGAAUCUUUGGUUUGACUGCAAAUGUUAAUAAUUCAACGUCCAAAGAAGUAUCAUAUUUCAGCGACUAAUUUUUAUUUAAAUUCUCGUGUUUGUUAUGUAUGAUUGCUGGAAGUCUAUUGACUCGUUAAAUCAUUAAUCUUUAAUGUAAGCAAGCUGAUGUGAGUGAGCCAGUGUGCUGACACUUUCAGAUAAAUUUAUGCCAUGUACUUGUCAUGUUUCCUUUUCUUUUACUGGAAAGAUUCAAUUUAUUUAGGACCCUGUCCAUCCUAUCACCAGGUUCUGUGUACUGUUGGAAUGUGAAUAUAUAUAUAUAUAUAUAUAUAUAUAUAUAUAUAUAUAUUUGUCAAAUGUUGGAAUGUGAAUAUUUGAUUGAUCUUGAUGCAGCUUCUAGCUUGUCUUAUUUGUCUCAACUUAGAUGGUUUUAUAUUACCAAGAACACUGACAACAUGUUUCUAUCAAUGCGUUAAGUUCAAAAUACUUUUUCAUGAUAAUUUUUUUAUACUUAUUCAUUUGUAAAAUACAUUGAUCUUGUCUAAUGUGUUUAUGCAUUCCAUGUAUUUUUCUUAUUUUAUUUUAUUUUAAACAUAUUCUGUAUUAUGUGUUUAUAAUAAGCUUCCUGUCAUUCUCAUGCUCCUAAAAUUUGUCAUGUUGUCAGCAACUUCUAACUAUGUAUUGAAGCGUGCGAGGAUAUGAUUAACAUCAUACGAAAGUAAGGGAGGUCAAUGUGAUUUCAGAAACUUAGCAGGGGAUAUCUGUAAUUGCAAGUAAUUCAAGACAGGCAAAUGCAGAUUUUCCUUUUCUAAUUGAAUUACAUGUUUUCACUGAAACUAGGAGCUGGCAUAAGAGUAGUUCAGAUGUAUUCCAUCAUCUAGAUAAAAUUUAUGAUUCUUGUGCAUUUUCAGAGUAGUUGAUUAAUUCACGCAGCAGCAAAUGUUUUAAAAAAUCCUUAUGUUUGUUGUAGUUAGUUGUUCUGCGAUAUAUAUACAUAUAUAUUUUUUCUGAUUUUCUGUAUUUCCCCCCUUUUCCCUCAGGCUCUGGGUGCUAGUUUAAUUGGAAGUGACUGCUCGUACAUGGUUGUUUUUCACUAUGGCUCAAUUGUCCUUUUUAAUGUUCGGGAUCAUGAAAUUGAGGGAUAUUUGAACAUCGUAGAAAAACAUGCUUCUGGAAUGCUCCCUGACAUGAAAAGAGAUGGUAAGCUUGGGUACAAACAGUUAUACUUGGGACUUCUUUAAUAUGUAAAAUUUGGAACUGAUGAACCCAGGAUCACAUUUCUGUUAUUUAUAAUGAUAUUGUGACAAGAUAUGUAUUGGAAAAUCUGUUUUCGGCUAUUAAUGCUUUGAGCUAGGGUGAAAGAAUGCUCCAUAAAUGCAGUUUAAGUCUGUUGCUACUGUAAAUUAGAAUCUUUGUCUGUUACAAUGUCCAAGAAUAUCGUUGAAACAGUUAUUUAUAUGCUUUUCACUUCAGAAGCAUUGGUAGGAGAUAUGUCUUUGCUCUUGUUCUUCUGUUCAAAUUUUUUCAAGACAGCGAAUUAGCGUGUUGAACUGUGUAGUGAAAGCUUUUUAACAACCUUUGAUUACUCACAGCUUUUUGGUCUGACUUUUUUCCUUUUGACACUUUCAAAUUAGAAUAUGAGGUCAGAGAAAAGCCAACUCUGAACACUUGGAUGCAAGGGGGUUUGGAUUACAUAAUGUUGCAAUAUUUAAAUAUUGAUGGGAUUCGUACCAUUGGCAGUGUUCUUGGUCAAAGUAUUGCCCUUGAUUACUAUGUUCGCCAGGUUGGUGUCCCCUCAAAUUUUUGUUCUACCACUUCGUGAAAAUAUUGCUCAGUUAAGGGCAUUUAAGCUGUAUUGUGUGUUUUUAGGUUGAUGGAAUGGUUGCAGAAUUUACUGACAUUAAUCGUGGAAUGGAGAAAACAGGCACAUUCAAGAUGGAACGAAAAAAGCUUUUCCAGCUAGUUGGAAAGGCCAAUUCCAAUCUUGCUGAUGUGAUUCUUAAACUUGGACUCUUUGAACGGUAAUAAUGUUGGUGCACCUUGGAAGAAAAUAUCUUUUCUUGGCUUGUCUUAGAGAUGCUUCAUAACUCUUAUUGUUGAAAAGUUAUUUGUCUUUUCUUGUAAAUAACAUCUUUUCCUUUGCCUGACACCCUGUCUUUUCUAUUUUCCUUCUUUCUGCUGCUUGGUUUCCCUUCUCUGAACUGUUAAAGGAUCAUCUGUCUGCUUUUUUUUUUUUUAUUUAAAAAUUUUUAAAUUUUUUAGUAUUACUAGCGCUAAUUUUUUCAAUGAGCCACAAUCUUGUUGCCAAAUCAAAUUCUUUGUUAAUAUUUUUUUGUUGAAAAGACUUCUAGUUGUGUGGCAUUUUUAGCUAUUCAAGAAUCUUAUGGUUUCUAACAGACCUUGUUUCCUUCAGGUCAGACAUAGCGUGGAAGGAUGCUAAGUAUGCUCAAAUAUGGGAAUAUCUCAGGGAUGAAUUUGAAUUGACUCAGAGAUUUGCAAGCCUGGAUUUUAAGUUGAAAUUUGUGGAGGUAAUUUUUUGUUGCGAAAAUGGCCUUUUGUAGUUCUGAUGGUUGUUUUUGACAUAUUGCCCUUUUCUUGCAGCAUAAUAUCCGUUUUCUCCAGGAGAUCCUUCAAAAUAGGAAGUCAGAUUUUCUGGAAUGGCUUAUCAUUAUACUUAUAGCUGCAGAAAUCCUCAUAUCUGUUUAUGAUAUUGCCCACAAAUCAGCAAUUACGUCUCUAUGACACCUCUAGGUUACAAUGGCGAAGGAAUCAUUCAUUUUUGCUAAUGCUGAUUGCCGGUCAGUUUUUGUGUAUAUGCUUUAGAUUAUGCUUCUAAUUUGAUAGGGAAAUUGAAAAGAGAAAGAAGAUCUUGAAAAUAUUAUUCUUUGUAAUUUUUCAAUGGAAAUUUGCUGCCCAGUCAUCGACAAUUAGAAUAGCGUGCAUUGCUAGUUCAAAAUAUCCCACGGAAUGUUUUCUCCAGUGCAAGUCUUCGUUACACAUCCCUCCAUAUAAGUUAUUUUGAUGAUUUAACGAGUAUUCUUGCUUUGUACUGGUUGAUUUGCAUAUAAGUAUGCAGUGAAACUUGAUGUUUGUCUUGGAUUUGCAUUUUUCUUGGACAAUUUCUUUCUUUUAUCAAGUCAGUUAAAUGUAGAUUUUACCUCUUCUUCUAGUUUUAUUUUUGGCUGAGAAAUGUGGAAAAAAAAUAAAAGGAGGGAGAAAAGGAAACCCUUGUUUAACGAGUGAAAGUGUCAUUGGCAUUUGGCAAUGGUACGUGUACACUGUCAUUCUAAAAAUGUACAAUGCAUAAGAGACUAUCUUGAUAUUUUCUUGCGUAUGGUCUCAACUCUCAAAACAUGCUUCGCUUAAUUCAUCUCGAGGGACUCAACUAGUAGUUCUGGAUUCUGGUUUGGCCAAAAUGGCCACGCAAGUUACUUGUGUCAGUUGAUGCACAAGAUAUGGGGUUUGUCAUCUGUAAUACAAAACUAAACCAUUUUAGUCGAUGAGUUUGUCUAUCUAACAAAUGUGAACCUACCCACCAUAAAGUCUGCAGAUUACUUAUCGACUACAAAGUCUGUAGCUUACACUACCUUUGGGCUUUCUGUCUUCCAGUGACCAAAUACAAAUAGUUUGGUCAUUGUAAACAUAAAACAGGCAUUUGUUAAUUGAGAGAUUGUGCAUUACGCGGGCCUGAUGCCUCUGAUUCUUGCGGUUUCACUUUAUUUUUCUGUCACACGAUCCUUUAGACUUGUUUGCAUUUUCCCUCAUGAAUAGAGUAGGAAAUGAAACGAGUCAAUUGACUUGCAAGAUUUGCAUCUAAACUUGUUAAAGAUGUAGAAUAGAGCCUAGACUCUCCCUGUGGUUGGUUGAAAUAGCGCGGGUAGAUAUGGGGGCAGUGCCGAUACAAAUUGAUAAGGACAAGUUACUUCUUCACAAAAGGUUGUGUGUUUGAAUCUCACUGUCAAUGUAAGAACUGUGUUGAUAAUUACUCAAACAUUUUGUUUACAAAAAAGAUAAAAAAAUAAAAAAAUUCCUGUAAACGAUCUAUGGUUCCAAGAGCAUGCCAAAACUGAAAAUAAUCUUUUGAUAAAAGGAACUUUAUUGAAGACUAAAUUGGCUAUCCAAAGAUAAAAGGAGCAAGGAAAUCCACUAAACAAGAAAAGAUUGUUGAAUUUCAAUUGGACUAGCAGUCCAAGUUCAGAUUACAACCAUAACAAAUCAUAGACCAUCGUCUAUUUUUUGGAAACACAAUUCUCAAGAAGGAACCCGACUCCUAAACAUAACAAGACGAGACGAGACUGAUCAUUCCAGCAGCAGAACAUUAGCUUGAUCCCUUUGAUUUUAAGGCUUGAAGAAAGGAUAUAACUCGUAUCUAACGUUGCAAGUUGCACUAAGAAAUUGAGCUCCUUUCCCAUCAAAGAGAUCGGAAAGAUCAUCAAUCCUUCCCUUAAUGCAAGUGCUACAAUUGGCAGGAGUCAAAUCCAAGGGGCACUGAACCAAUCCAUAGACGUACAGUAGUAAAAGUCCUUCAAUCUCAGUAAUCCCUUUAGCAAACAAAUUCGUUGAUGCAGAAGCCUCAUCAGACAAUCCGUACAAAAACUUCUGAAUUUGAGCCAGUGAUGAUAGAGGGCUGCUUACACGAAAUUCACUCCUUAUGAAAUACCCUGUACUUAAAGGGUAUCCAAAAUCGUUGAAGUUUGAGUAUUCCAGUGAACAAUAGUCGUACCAAAUGUUUGCUGCUAUAUUGUAUGGACAGAUUUGGCGAAUCACUUUUGCUGCCUCAAAAACACAGAUUUGACAGUCGGCCUUUGAGAUAUCUCCUCUACAGAGAGCUGAGCCAUAAACUGAGUCAUUUUUUCCCGAUACAGAUAUGUACUUGUAUCCUGAUGCAGGAGUAUUAUAGUAAAGAUCGUUUAAAAGAAUGUUCAAGUUCCUGUCAUAGUCACUGUUGGCUGUAAAGUUUUUAUAGGUGGUGCAAGUAUGGUAGAGAGGUUCAGCCCCAGCUGCGAUUUGGGCUAACAAAGCAAUGCAUAGAACAGCAAUGGUAAAGCUCAGUUUUUGGAAAUCCAUGUCAGAAGGAUCAAUGUUGUGGAGGUGGCUAUCUCCUCAGUCUUUUGCAGCAUUUAUAGCCAUGCCAAUACAUAUAUCGUCAGUGAUCAUUUCGAAGCUUUCCUAGUACCUUCCGAUCAAUGUUUCUUUUUUCCCAGGUUUUUUGUCCAUUGAGAAGAUUGCCUUCGCUGCAGGCUGACUUGCUUUUUUGAGUUUGUUGUAAAUUUUGGGGUUGUCUUGUACGAAGCUGUUCAGUAAAUAAGAUUCAAGAAAUUUAUCCUCACUCGGUUAACUUUUUCUUCGAUUAAGUUGUAAAAAAAAAAAAAUUGAAUGGCACAGGCGAAAAGGGAACAAUGAAAGAUCAAGGAAAGAGGGAGAGAAACAGAUUUUACAGACUUGUAGCAAUAUGAGAUGUAAUAUUGAUAUAGGAGGAAGCUUGUUUGUAAUUUACCCAGGCCUGUUACCUUGGCUUUUAGCCCCGAAUUGUUAUGGUACAAGACGACCAGUAAGUGGUAUAUACUGCUGAGGUCCAAUCAAGAAGCAACAAUUGCGAAAUUACAGCCUGCCAAUUUCCUGAUUGCACACUCUUGUCCCGACAGUUUCAGACGCAUGGAUACACACAUGAAAAAGAGGGAAUGAAUAUGGAAAAAAAAAAAAAGAAUAUGGAAACCAUCUGGAUUGGAUUCUGGAAAGAAAAUGCAAUAGUUCAAAGUAAAUUCCCUAAUUUAAGGCAAGAUACACAUUGAUUUCUGAUGAUUACUGGAGUAGCAUGUAACGUUUUGUGCAUUUCUGCAGAAAGUUAACCAUUUUCUGGAUCUCUAAGUUCCACCAGAAUUGCCCUUUUAGGAGUGGAACUUCUAGCUCAACCAGGCCAUGCUUUUUCAUCAUAAUCUAUGAAUAUUACUGUCGGAGGUCAAUAAGAAAAACACUGAACACUAUAUUAAAUUAGGCUGCCUUGGUAAAGUAACGGGGUGAUAUCAGGCAUUCGCCGAGGCUAAGACAUGGAUUCACCAAAAGUAGUCCAUUCAAUUACAUGGUAGGUAAGAAAUCCGUUUCUAUAAAUGAAUACUUUCAUUUCAGACAAUUAAUUUCUUGUAAGGCCAGUGCACAUCAAUUGGGAAAUCGUUAAAUCUUUGGAAGCCUCCGCAUCAGUUAAAAGUAGCUGCCAGAAGUUCCAUCCACCAUAUGUCUACUAGUCUUUGCACCGUUCUUCCCUUGCUUGAGCCUUUGUAUAUGUGCUUCUAAUGCAGGCAAAUGAUUCCUAGUUCAAAAAUUAUGUAAGUUCUUCUGUUGCUCAGCAAAAUGGGUAUUAUUUGUUGUAGAUUAGGAUUACUUUGAAUAAUAAGUAGCAGCUGACUUUCGUGCACAACAAAGUUGCAGGUUCAUUUAGGCUAUGACUAUGAGCACUCCAAAAUCCUCCUCCACAUUAUCCCACACUGGAAACUGAAAUGAUUUUUGAUCAUCUGAUAAGCACCAAAACCACCAAGUCGAUCGCCGGGCCUGGUAAAGGAGGCCUGUAACCCAAGUGGAGGCAUUGGAGUGUUAGAACAUGAGCACAGCCCAGACGGUGGGGUUUAGGGCUGCUCCUUGCUGGUCUGCCCGGUCCAAGCUAGGAGUUGGGCCAUUUGAUCUGGGCGAAGGCUUGGAUCAUGUGGUCUUUAGAGAGGUGGGGACUGCGUGAGGCUGGUUUCACAGAGCAACGAAGACCACCCGCUCUUCGCAGUGGAUGGAUAACAGAUCGGUGCUCUCUGAGCCCAGAAAUGCUAGAUGGGCUGUCUCUAACUGGACCAACACUCUUUUUGAAAAUUUUCUCUGCGAAGUCCCCACAUUCUUUUUGCCCUUUUUUUUUUAUAAAUAUUUUCAAAUUUUUCUAAUUUGUGUGAAGUCCCAAAAUAUUCGAUCGGCUAUGCGGGAAAAUACAUAUAUUAUUGAAUAUCUACUGGUUUGCUAAAAGGGAAGCAAGAAUUGAAGAUCACUAAUUAAAGUAUAAUUCAAGCUACAAAUUGUUUGGAAAGCAAUUUUUCAAAGAAAAAUUGUUACGUUUUUCAUGAACGCAUUUUUCAAUCACCUUUUUAUCUCAUAUAUAAAUCAAAAUACAAUCCGAACAAUUGCAGCAAAGUUGCAAUUAUAAGCUCCAUUUUGCAAUUGGUCAAAUAAAUCAAAGCCUUAUCAUCACCAAAUCUAGACAAAAUUGCACAAAACAAAAGCUUCUGAUACUCGUUAAGAGGCUUGAUAGGUUCAUACAGUGAAAGACAAUCAGUUUCAGUCUAAAAAAAAAGGACCAAAUAUAGGAUAUCACUCCUUACCACCUGUUACUGUAUAAAAUUAUAGUAAACGAUGAAACAGGAUUCAGGAGAAUUGUACAUGCUUCAGCAGCACUUCAAGAGUAGCAUUAAUUAGCUCGUAGUUUAUCUGAAAAGUUCUGUAUAGCUGCAAAAGUUUGUGAAAGCUGAAAGAUCGAGUAAAACACUUGACUGAAAAGACUAGACAAGAAAAAUAAACUUCACAAAAUCAGCUGCUAUGCAUCUAGCACUAAAGAUAAUUGGCUGUACUUAAUAAAUCGACUAAAAUGGACUUGACAAGAAAAGUUUAUGGGCUUCCACUUGACUAGAAGUCUAGGUUCAAACUUCGAAGCUCAAUCGUAAGUAACGGUCUGGUGAAAAAUGCAGGUUUCUACACUCUGCUCUUGAGACAUCUCCCUGAACGGCGUACAGAUCAUGCUCUCCUACCACAGAUGUUUACUCGUUCCCUGUUGCAGGAGUUCUAUUGUAAGGAUUGAAUAAGAGAAUUGCCAAGUGUUAUCAUAUUUUCUGCUGGAUUUGGGGAAGAUGUCCAUUCAUAUUGUGGAUAGAACUGGAAGACAUCUGAUGUCCGAGCCAAAGAUUGAAUUUAGUUUGGCUUGGAUGCGUUGGAUCUCGAUUUCAAGCAAAUUACCUAUCUGAGAACACGUGUUUAAGUCCUACAAGUUAAAUUGCUUGACAUGGUUUUACCGAUUGCAUUAACCAAGUUUACUCCCCUUUUUCAUUUCUAUAAACUUUUACCAGCAAUUCAUUGUGGCGGUCUUCGGUGAAUCCAUACUAUAAUGGACAAAGAGUAAAGACAAAAGAGGAACUUGUCCGCUUGUUUCUUGUGCCAAUUCAGGGGUUCAUUUGUAGAGAUAAACUGCAUUAAUCUUAAAACUUUUUUGAUUAUUUUACACUUGAAAUAAUGUUGAGGAAUAUUAUUGUUUGAUAAAGAUGAUGAUCAGAUGAAACAUUAUUAGAACGAUACCUCUAUGAACAAGGUUUCCUAAAGACAAAAGAGGAACUUGUCCGCUUGUUUCUUGUGCCAAUUCAGGGGUUCAUUUGUAGAGAUAAACUGCAUUAAUCUUAAAACUUUUUUGAUUAUUUUACACUUGAAAUAAUGUUGAGGAAUAUUAUUGUUUGAUAAAGAUGAUGAUCAGAUGAAACAUUAUUAGAACGAUACCUCUAUGAACAAGGUUUCCUACAAAUGCAUGCUUACUAUUUCUGCACUGUAAACUAUUGUCAUCACAAAUUCCGAAUUAAAGAUAAUAUAUACAAAAACAUUUGGACACGCACAUUCGGUUUGUGCUGUCAAAGACAACCAGUGAUCAGCAUGUGCUCCACUCCAAACAUGAAGCUGUCACAGGAAACUUCUACUGAUGAAGUUUACAUGAUAGGGCCUCUCGAUGCCACACUUGUCGUGCUGAAAAAAGGUACCGGACGCACAUAUAAUCCCAACCACAAAGGAAAUGGAAGAAAAAGUUACACUACACUACUAAUUAAAUUACUAAUACGACCUAGCACUACUACUAUAUUUAAGUUGCAGCAGGAUCGAUCUCCUGCAUCUAUUGAAAUCUUGAGAACAUGGCUCUAAAAUUAAACCUUUUCCUCUACAUUCUCUCAAUCGCCAUUUUCGCAGAAAUGGCUGCUGGAGUCGACCUCUUUAAGCCCGUCGACCACGUUUGCGGCUUUCCAGAUAACAGGAACUUUACUAGCGGCAGCGAGUAUGAAAACAACUUGAACUUCAUCUUACACGAUCUUUCCAACAAAACUCCCGCAACCGGGUUCGGUCUUGCAUAUGCCGGGGGGGUGGAAAACAGUAACAGGGCUUAUGGCCGAGCUCAAUGUAGAGCGGACGUUUCAACAGCAGACUGCAAAACCUGCAUUUCUGAAAUGGUCAGAUGGGUUCGGGGGAAAUGUCCAUUUUAUAAAUCCGCAUUUGCUUGGUUCCAGGGUUGUCUUUUGAGAUACUCGGACGAUGAUUUCUUUGGCAAGAUUGAUGAUCCCAACUCGCUGGCAUUCUUCAUCUUGGAAAAAGAAAAUCUAAGCAACAUUGCACCCUUAGAAAAGGUGGAGGGAUUGUUAAAUCAACUUGCAGGAGAAGCUUCCGCGUCUAAGGAGUUGUUUGCCAGAGGAGAGGUGAAGCUUGCAGGAUCGAAAAAUCUAUAUGGUUUGGUUCAAUGCACCUUGGACCUUUCCCCAGCAGAUUGUAAGACUUGCGUUGAUGGAUUGGUUAGUAUAGUUCCUAAAAUUUAUGGGAACGGGACUCAGAUCUACACGUCAACUUGCACCCUACAAUAUUUGUUGUAUGCUUUCUUCAAUGCUUAAAAUGCAAAGGUGGCUAUGCUAGCUUCUGCAAUAUUCUACGUUGGAAUUGAAGAUAUUUAACAUCGUUCAGGUGUUAGAAGAAUGUGUGCUGUUGAUCAGUUAUGGUUGUCCGAGUUGUGAUUCCAAUUUGUUGCCUUUUGAUUUUCAACUUUGUUGAAGUUAUAUAAAUUUGGUAGGAAUACCUAGAUUUCCUAAUUCUUCUCCGAGGAGAAUCGCCUAUCACAUUAAGUGAUAUUUUUACGCAUGUAGCUUUUGAUCAGCAGUAAGUAUAGCUUGCUUAUCUUGGGUCCUUUUUGUUUGUAUAUUUUCUUUUGGCUAAAUGGUCCAAAACUUAUUUCAUAAAAUGCCUAAGAGAAAAUGGUAUUAAAACAAAAAAGAGAGAGAGAAACAAACAUGGUUGGAAGUUCAGUAGAAAAGAAAAGAAAUGCAAUGGGUUAGGUGCAACGACAGGGGUUGGGGCGGGGAAGAGGGGAGGGUUCCUAGUCCCAUUCCCGGUCCAUUGCCAUCUCUAAUUGAAUAUCAUGUUUGCCCGAAAAAAUCCUGUGCUUUUGUACAGUGAUAAUAAUUUAGGAGUGAACGAAAUAGACAGAGAAGUGUUACAAUUUGCUCCAAAACUUUUGUAAACAUAGUUGAGUUACUAAUUAGUUAUUUGGAUGAAUGAAAGUUAUUAAGAAAUAAAAAGGCAACACUUAAAAAGAGAUUGAAGGACUCUUUCAUAAAAAAAAAAGUCAUGUAUUCAAAUUCCAUUACGUAAGUUAGGACUGCUUUAGUGAGUAAUUUAUAAAUAUUCUCAAAGAUUUGUAAUUCUGGAGAUGUCCCCAUCUCUAUCGCUAGUGGUGAUCGGAGUGGAAACCGCCUAAAAUUGAUCUCUAUCAAAAGAAGAGAGAAAUGAAAAGCAAGACUUGAUGUCAACACUAAACUAACUAAUGCAGACACUAACACAAUGACAUAUACAAACACAACAAAAUUUGUCACUCGUUAAAAUUUGUGCCUACAAAUUCAAUCCCAACCAUCAUAUUAUAAGUCACUUUGUCUGCACUACACACUGUUCUGUUCAGCCACUACUGCAACUACAAAAGAUCUGGACCCAUAAUGGAGUAUGUCCUAAAUAGUUAGUCCUACUUCAGGUGAUAAAUAACUUUGAGAUUUUUAGUCGAGUUGUUAGGGCCUGGCAAUAAUUGACGCCCCCAUCUGUGAACUCAAAUGUUUAUAAUUGUUGCUAGGCUAAUUAUUAGAGAAAGCUUGAUUGGAUGACGGGUUAGUUUUUUUGCCUAUCUUCCUCGAAUUGUUUUGUCUUACUUAGCCAAAACAAUAAACAAAGAGAUAUAGAUGCUCAAGGCCGUCCGGGACGAACACUAGUGAAUCUAUCUACAAAGCUCCAAGAUCAGAGACGAAGCUGUGCACAAAGAAGUAACAUCGCCUGCGACAGACUUGAUCCAACUAUUUUGUCCGACAAAUUGUCCUAGAAGCAAAGAAAUAUGUAUAAGAAAAACACAGAAAUUCCUCGUGCCAAACAUAUUUGGAUGUGAAAAAUAAUUGCUGAAAUAACUGCUAUAUAGACGCUGAACUAAGUCUAGGUAGACCACAAUAAUUGCCUUCAUUUCUAAUAUCCUUCUUUCAACCAUGACUUCGUCAAAAUUAACCAUUUCCCGCUGCAUUCUUUACAUUGCCAUUUUUGUAGAAAGGGCCGGUGCGGUCGACCUUGUUGAGCUUCUGGCCGUUGAUUGCAGGCCAUCGAACAAUUUUACCGCCGGGAGUGAAUACCAAAACGAGUUGAACAUUGUCCUGAAUUAUCUUCAGAGAGCAACUCCUGCAACAGGGUUCGCUUUUGAAUACGUUGGGGAAGCAAAAACUGGUAGUGGGAUAUAUGGCCGAGCCCUCUGUAGAGGAGACAUUUCAGCUACGGAAUGCAAAACCUGUAUUGAUGCAGCUAUCACGGAGCUUCGCCAAAACUGUACUUUCAGGAAAGUAGCAGGUGCUUGGUAUGAAGGCUGUUUUGUGAAGUACAGCAACCAGGACAUAUACAGCAAACUUGAUCGCGGAAGGUACUACGUUUGGAGAGAGCAGAAUGUAAGCAGCCCUGCUUCAGCAAAAAUGGUGGUCGAGUUUUUGAAUCAUCUGUCGGAUAAAGCUGUCACUUCUCCAAAGCUGUUUUCGAAAGGAGAAGUUAAGGUCACACAAUCAUCAGAAACUCUGUACGGGUUGGUUCAGUGUGCUUUGGAUAUUUCCGCGGCUGAUUGCAAGACUUGCUUUAGUGCGCUGAUGUGCUUGGUUCCUCGGUUCAGUGGGAAAGGAGGCCAAUUCUUUAGUGCUACUUGUACUUUGCACUACGAGUUUUUGCCUUUUUUCUAAGCUUGUUAAAUCCAAUACCCGAGUGGAGUGCUACUGUUUUCGGUUCUUCUCCUCAUCUCCAUUAGAAAAGUGGGAAUAAAGGAGAAGUAAUGUGUCAGAAGCAAUAUUGUGUGUCUAAGUCAGGAGUAUUUGUCCAACUCUCCUAAGUCAUGUUUCUCAGAUGCCAUGGGAUAUGUUUGAACUUUCAAGCGUAAUGGGAUAUGUAAAAUAACUCAUACGGGAGCUACAUAUGGACAGUGGACUAUAACUGGUUAUUCAUUCAUACUUGACUAGUUAACUAAGAAUUUGGUUCCCGUUUCAUGAUGCACCUGUUUUCAGGUUAAGAUUAAAACAUACUUCACUUUAUUUGACGAGCAAACAUAUGAUCCAAACAGUUGAACAAUUCAACUAAGUAUCAACUAAAUAUGAUGCAAAAAGCUAUUGGCUUCACAAAAUUUCCCUUGAACGCUAUGGGCUAAUAUGAGGAGAGGAUACUUUUCUCUAACUUGUAAUCUUGUAUUUUUACUUUCUGCAAGGAUUAAUUUUUGUUACACUACAUGUCGUGCAUCCAACAUUUAGAAACAAAUAAUAAUAAAAGUAUAGGUAAUGGGUAAUACUUUGGAUGGUGAGCUACUAAUAAUUUGACUUAAAUACUUCACCCUCUCUAGUAGUUUAUGUCAAAAAAUUAUUGGGUUACCCACAAACUAAUAGUGGUACAGUUGAUAUCAAAAUGAAUAUCUAUAUUCUAUACUAGGGGGAAAAGCCCACGCAACGCGUGAGAGUUUAGUACCUAUAAUUAAAGAUAGUUAAUAAUUAUUAUUUGGUAUUUUCUAGUAUAAGAAUUGAAGUAUGAUAAUUUUAUUAUGUGAUAUUAAAUUAAAAAAAUCACAUGUUACAUUUUGAGUUAAAAAAAUAUAAUAUGGAAUAAAACAUAAUUAUAAGAUACGAUCAAUUACUUUGCAUCUAACCUAAUAUAAUAAAAGACCUAUUUAUAUCUGCUCAUGCACUUUAGGAAUAUUAAAAUUUGUUAUUUAGUUUGAAUUUGAUCUCCCUAUGAGGGCAAUCCACCACAUUAUCUUAUCAUAUAAGCGAGAUUUGAACAAUUAGCAUACUUGAAGAAAUCAUUACUAGUAGAAUUUCAGUUCUUGCAAACCAAAUUCUUGAAUUUAUAUUGAUUCUAAGGACACAUAUCAUCACGAGACCUUCACAUUGAGCAAGUAAUUAAUUAUAAUUUAUUGUAUGAUUUAGGACAUAUAGCAAAGCAUCUCCUUCUCAAUAGGGGUUACAAUCACGAAAUAUCAGUUUUGUGUUAGUUACAAAGAUAUACAACAACUAACAUGCUAAUUUAGAGGAAUAAUUACGUCAAAAAAAGUACUAAAACAUCUUAAUCCACUCAAUUUAAGAAAAAUAAUUAAAAGUAAUGAUAGGUCAUAAUUUGUUGUUAAAUUUAUAAUUAUUCUCCCCCUGAUUUUAGCCAAAUAUUAUUUUAAUCGUCGGAUUCUACUUAUAUUUGGUAUUUUGUGCUUAUUUCAGGAGAAAGAAUGAAAAGUGCUUAAAAUCAAAUUUCAGAGAACUUCUUGAUGAGUAGGUGUGCCCACGCCUAACUCCAGCCUUCUUGGCCGGACUUUCGGGAUUAUGUGCACGUGGAAAGCUUCCUAGAAUGAGUGGAAUAGCUGACUUUAAAUCAGGAAAUCACAAGACUCGUGGGCCGCAGAGGUGUAGAGGAUAAAAACUCUAAUCCUACAAAACGUCAAGGACUUGGAAGCUUACUUUUCUUUUCAGCGGCCAAUAGGAACAAAGCCAGAAUCACGUAUGAAUUAGACUAGCUGGAGUUUCCUUUUUCUAGGGGUCAGACGUCUUCUUUUAAGAGGAUAAUUCCUAUCUUUUUAUUGGGGGGGACUGCUGAGCCGACUUUUUAUUUUUCCUUCCUUGGCCGAUUUGGCCAGGGAGAAUUUUGUAAGCUUCAGAUUGGUUUUUCGCAUGGUUGUUCUCCAUUAAUGGAGAACUAACCUCCUACUGCUAGUCAAGGGGAUAACUGGAGAUUUGGUUCAACAAUUUCUGUGAGAUCUAAUUUAUUUUAAUUGCUUCCUCCAUUUAUUGGUAUUCAUAUAUUUCCUGCUUUUAACCGUUAUAGCUCGUGUGAAUGAUUGAAUAGAUGCGCAAUAUUUAAUUAUUCACAUAGGCUAUUUUGCUAAAUAGGGAUAAUUGAAUCCGUAAUUGUUCGUUAUCUUUAUCUCAGUAGCAACUGGCGUAAUUGGGUUUAUGUCAGGGGAACAUACGAUCUAAUUUAAACAAACCCUCGUAGCGUGUUUGUUAGUUAGCAUUGGGCCUUUCUAAUUAUUAAUGCAAUCUAGAAAUUAAAUCCUACGGUCGUACCUAGGAUUGUUUUUGGGUUAGGGAAAUAGUUAACGGUCGUACCUUGACUAUCGAUAAAUUAAGGAAGGGUUGGUUGUUUAUCGCGUGUAUGACAACUAUAACUGAUCUAUUAAUAAAUGUUGGGAUUAUUUUUGCAUCAAUGAUCAGUGCAUGAACCAUUUCUGAAGUAUACCCUUGGCUAGAGUUUUCCCUUAAUUAUUUCUUUGAAUUAAUUAUUUUCUGCAAUUAAUUUAUUUAGUUAGCAUUUAAUCCAAAACCCCCCAUACGUUGGACUCUAGAAGAAACGAAUUAUCCCCAAUCCCUGUGGAUUCGACCCUACUUAUCACUAUCUACAGAAAUUAUAUUUUAUUUGAGCAGGUAUUUAUUAUUGCACAGGUUCGGCACCUGUCAAUUUUUGGCGCCGUUGCCGGGGACUGGUACCAGAUUAAUUUGUUUCUUUUUUGAAUUCAUCUUGUUUUUAUUUUCAUUUAUUUAUUUUUCUCUUAUUUUUUUUAUUAUAUAUUUUAUGGCUUCUAACACUCCGUAUUUUGGUGAUAUACUGGAUUUUGUUUUCGGGGAAGGCAAUGAGAUUGAUUGUUUUUCUAAGUUUGCAUAUUUAGUGGCAAUAAACUCUAUUAAAAAAAGAAUGGCUGCUGCAACCUGUGAAAUUUGUUAUGCCAGGGAUCAUUCAACCGGUAUGUGCCCCGAAUAUCAAGAUAAUCUGAGUGUCCCAUUCAAUAAUUAUGGAGAUUUUUCACCCUGGUCUCAAACGUGGUAUAACCCUAAUCCAAACGGGUAUGAUCAAGGAUGGUGGGAUAACUCCAGUUAUGAUUAUACAACAGGGCCAAUGAAUUUUCAGCAGUAUGAGUCUCAAGAAUCAUCAUCUAUGUCAGGUAUGGUCUCUGAAGAGAUGUGAAUUAAAGCUACUAACACAUAUCAAAUUCAACAGGAGACACAAAGUGAGCAGGCGUAAGCCUAGCAGAUCAAAUGGUCAAUUACAUUUGGAUAAGUCAUUGGCUUCUCGAAUGACGUGAAGAAUAUUGCCCUCUAACUUAUCCGGCACUGAGAAUUGAAGAGUGCAAUUAUUCCUGACGAAGGAACAUGGUACUGCAAAGGUCUCAAGAGAAGAAUCUAACAGAUGGUUUGAAAAGAAAGUUGAGCACAGAAUUGCAGACCAGAACAUCAAUGAGUUCAAGUGAAUGAAUCCAGUGACAAUCUCAAUGCGGUGGACAUAUCCUCAAUUCCUUUGCAUCAAUAAUCUUUCCUGACUCUUAUUCUUUAAUUCCUAUUAGUGAGAUAUGAUUAUAUGUAUACCACGAGCGUUUGAAUUUUCAUGCCAGGAUAAAUAAGAUCUCAUGAUGGCAAAAUAUCUAGGAACCAAUAAGUGCUCUUGAUGGGAGAGAGUUGAAGAUUUUAAAAAUCAUCACUUGUUUGUUUUCGAUGCUUUACUAGUCCAUGGCAUAGACCGGUAGCUCGUGUGCCCAAGCAAUACUUCUCAUUUACGAGUGCGGCUAGUGCAGGAUAUCAUAGAAGAAUGAGAGCACUGAAACGAAGCUACGCGAUUUUUCCUCCAUGAAUAAAAGGACAAUGUUAGCCAUAGAAUUAAAGAAGGCGCUACUUGGGAGCAACCAGCUUAUUGCUUUCGUUUUCAUGCACUUUUUGAAGUUUUAGUUAAGUGUUAGGUGUCAAUUAUAGUUUGAUGUUUCGUGGCAGGGAAUUAGCAGUUAGAAUGUGCCACGCCAGGUGGUCACGCUGAGGCGAAAGAAAUGUUCGUUCAGGAUCUGCGGACUAUAGCAGUUAGCGUUAGAAGUGCCUCAACGCCAGGUGGUCACGCUUGAGGGAAAGUAGAAUUUUCGUUCAGGAUUUGCAGGGCUCUAUAGCAAUCUAGACGUGCACGCCUAGGCCAGAGGUUCCUUUUCUAAAAAAAAAAAAAAAAAAGAGAUAAAAUUUUUACAAAAGCAAUUUCAAUUUUUGGAGAAUUUCGGUAAGACUAGUUAAAAAAAAAAAACCAUUUUAUUUUAUUUUUCUUCUUUUCUUCUUUCUUUUCUUUCUUCCUUCUUCCCCGUUGCCCCUGCUUUCCCCUUUUCUCUUGUUCCUUCAACCAGAGCCGCCGGCGAUGAGCGCCUGCCCGAGCUCCGCGACAGCCGCGCCACCAGCACACCGCACUCCAGCUCUGCGCACCACCACCGCCACUCCAGCUUUCCUCCGGUUCUGUCUGCUGUCCUCCUCCGCCGCUGCUGUCGGCUAUCUCCACCAGCGGUCAACCUCCUACUUCCUCCCUCGCGCGCAGCUUUCGCCCACAACCAGACCACCUCACGGUCCACUUCGCUGAGGAGCCGCGCCGCCGCCUGCUCGAGCUCCACAACCACCGCUACCAGCCAUCACUGUCGCACGCUGCCAGCGCCGCAGCCCAGCCCGCGGGCCUGUUGCCCUCCACCAGCUCAGGGUCGCCCCCACCUCAGCCACGCCAACAUCCCAACCUCCCUGGUGCCAGGUUUUUCUUUAUUAAUUUUCUGGUCCCCGAUUCCAAUUUCUUGAUGUUGAUGGGAUCUUGAUGAUUACGAUUUUAUUGAGUAAAUUUGUUGGAUAACGCAGGAGAUGAUUUGAGCAUUUUCUGGGUUCAUUUAGAACUGAAUUGAGUUUAAUUGCUGCUCGAUUGUUGGCCAAUUGAUUUAUCGUUUGCCCUGUGACUCACCAGUGGUACUGGUUGAUUAAUUUUAAAGUUUAAGUUCUUGCGGUUGAGUUGCUGCCAUUGAAUUUAAUUCUUUCCUGUCUGGGCACCAGUGGUACGGGUUGGGGUAUUAUAACUACAUUUGUUGAUAUUUGGUUCUAGUUAGUGGGCUACUUGAUUGAAAACUGCCAAACAUUUUGUUUUAGUUGUAGUCCAAAUUUUGAACUACUAUUUCUGGUUUUGACGGUUUCUUGGCUUAUUUGCUAAUUUCGGUUGGUUGAGUUGUGUAAUUUCUUGUCCAAUUGGAGCCAUUUGGACAGAUUUUGGGUGGGCAAGUUUUGUCGCUCUCUGUUGAUCUUUGGGAGGCAUUUCUGACCGUAUUCUACGUAUUCAAAUUGGUCGAAUUCACUGCUUUGUUGAGGUUAUUUUUGGUAUCACUUGAGUUCUACUUUGUUGAUUUCUGUCUUGCGUCCCUUGAAGUGCCUUUGGUUGGGUAUUUUCUUCAUUUGUUUGUUGAAUUGGAAGGCUACUGUGCCACUUCCAUUGCUUAUUGCUGUUGGUGGCGUCUAAUUGACUUGCUGGGAGUAUUUUACCUUUUGAUUUCAAUUGCUAAAUCUUUAGAGCAUUUGUUGCGAUUUUGGACUACAUUGUUCCUGCAUUUGACCCAAUUGGGGCCACCAGUGAGUAUUUGCUGGUUUGCUGUUCUCUGUUGCACUCUAGUUCGCCUGGAUCAAGACGCACGUCGGAGCUCUCCUUCCUUCUACAAUCUUUCACUGCCGCGCACUACCGUAGCACCAUUUUCACUCCACCGUUCCCACCUAUUCCAUAGCCGCCCGAGACCUUCCACCACGUAUUCAGGGAAGUCCCGUUGCCCUUCGCCUUGCUAUUACUGUUUAUUUGUCACAUUGAGGGCAAUGUGUGAUUUAGGUGUGGGGGGGUAGUAUAUUGGCAUUUUAUUGAAAAAGUGCAAGUGUGGGCAUUUUUGUUGGAAUUUUUUGUUUGACUUUGUCGAAUUUUGUCCAAUUUUUGCCUAUCUUUGUGUUUAUUCGUGAUUAUUCUUGAUAAACGAUGGUUAGAUGUCUCAAAUUUUCUAUUGCUAAGAUUUUACACUUUAAGGUAUUGAGUAUAACAUGGUUGAUUUUAAGGGUAUCUCUUGGGUGAAUAUUUGAGAUUUUGUGACUUUUGCACUUUUUGGUUAACUUUUCUAAGUAUUGUAAAUAUUUGUCUAGCAUUUUUUUUUUGUUUUUGUGCAAAUUGGUUCAGCUAUUAAUCUUAGUUCUCCAUGUUUAAGAAAUAAAGCGGGUUUAUAUGGUAUUUAAUUUUAUUUUUGGUGCUUAUUUAUGAAUAGUAUUGAGCUAUACUCCGCUAGUAUCGUUGCCUAGUAACCGGGAGUUUUCAUCACAAGUGUUGAUUUUCGCGUCAAAAAGUGACGAUAACUAUGAGUAUGUGGUCCUUUAGCGAUGAUGGCGGAGUAACCGGGCUCCUUCAUUUGGCCAAUGUCGGAAUUCGCGUCAAAACGUUUAAAUGGCUAAAGACCAAGCAUUCCUCCUAAAAAAAAAAAAAGGGUGCUAAUAGUGAAAAUUUUGAAUGAAUUGUUAACCCGCUGAUCUAUGAAUUUUAAUGUUGAGAUUUUGCUUAAUAGUUGAACCAUUUGCUUAUGGAUGCUGGUUGAAUAUUUUAUAUUCUUAGAUUAGUUAGUCAUAAAUUGAAAGUCAUUGAUCUUGAAAGCUAAUUGGAGAGAUAUUUCUUGCAAAUUGCCACUAAUACUUGACAUGUAUUUUAAUUAUAUCUUGGCAAUAGAAGAUUUGAGUAAUACCAUUGUUUGAAUUUGAUUAUUUGAUUUAUGUUCUUAUGCUUGAGGACAAGCAUGGUUUAGGUGUGGGGGAAAUUGAUAGGUCAUAAUUUGUUGUUAAAUUUAUAAUUAUUCUCCCCCUGAUUUUAGCCAAAUAUUAUUUUAAUCGUCGGAUUCUACUUAUAUUUGGUAUUUUGUGCUUAUUUCAGGAGAAAGAAUGAAAAGUGCUUAAAAUCAAAUUUCAGAGAACUUCUUGAUGAGUAGGUGUGCCCACGCCUAACUCCAGCCUUCUUGGCCGGACUUUCGGGAUUAUGUGCACGUGGAAAGCUUCCUAGAAUGAGUGGAAUAGCUGACUUUAAAUCAGGAAAUCACAAGACUCGUGGGCCGCAGAGGUGUAGAGGAUAAAAACUCUAAUCCUACAAAACGUCAAGGACUUGGAAGCUUACUUUUCUUUUCAGCGGCCAAUAGGAACAAAGCCAGAAUCACGUAUGAAUUAGACUAGCUGGAGUUUCCUUUUUCUAGGGGUCAGACGUCUUCUUUUAAGAGGAUAAUUCCUAUCUUUUUAUUGGGGGGGACUGCUGAGCCGACUUUUUAUUUUUCCUUCCUUGGCCGAUUUGGCCAGGGAGAAUUUUGUAAGCUUCAGAUUGGUUUUUCGCAUGGUUGUUCUCCAUUAAUGGAGAACUAACCUCCUACUGCUAGUCAAGGGGACAACUGGAGAUUUGGUUCAACAAUUUCUGUGAGAUCUAAUUUAUUUUAAUUGCUUCCUCCAUUUAUUGGUAUUCAUAUAUUUCCUGCUUUUAACCGUUAUAGCUCGUGUGAGUGAUUGAAUAGAUGCGCAAUAUUUAAUUAUUCACAUAGGCUAUUUUGCUAAAUAGGGAUAAUUGAAUCCGUAAUUGUUCGUUAUCUUUAUCUCAGUAGCAACUGGCGUAAUUGGGUUUAUGUCAGGGGAACAUACGAUCUAAUUUAAACAAACCCUCGUAGCGUGUUUGUUAGUUAGGAUUGGGCCUUUCUAAUUAUUAAUGCAAUCUAGAAAUUAAAUCCUACGGUCGUACUUAGGAUUGUUUUUGGGUUAGGGAAAUAGUUAACGGUCGUACCUUGACUAUCGAUAAAUUAAGGAAGGGUUGGUUGUUUAUCGCGUGUAUGACAACUAUAACUGAUCUAUUAAUAAAUGUUGGGAUUAUUUUUGCAUCAAUGAUCAGUGCAUGAACCAUUUCUGAAGUAUACCCUUGGCUAGAGUUUUCCCUUAAUUAUUUCUUUGAAUUAAUUAUUUUCUGCAAUUAAUUUAUUUAGUUAGCAUUUAAUCCAAAACCCCCCAUACGUUGGACUCUAGAAGAAAUGAAUUAUCCCCAGUCCCUGUGGAUUCGACCCUGCUUAUCACUAUCUACAGAAAUUAUAUUUUAUUUGAGCAGGUAUUUAUUAUUGCACAGGUUCGGCACCUGUCAUGUAAUGAGGUACAUGCUUUAGAUUUGUAGCCAAAUAACUUUAUGUAGAUAGUUAAACAUAUUGGUAAAUCAGAUGAAGUGAAAAAUUGUCUAAAUGGCAUAGUCAAUAAAGUAGCAAACGAUUUAAAAAUUAUCCUAAUUAAUAGUUAAAACAACAAAAGAAGUAGAUGUAAUCUAUAAAUGGAAAAAUUUAUGAUGAUAAACUUAUUUUAAACCAUAAAUAACAAUUAACAAAUGUGGUCUCUUCUUUAUCAAACUUGUCUAAUAUGGACAAUUGAAUUAAAAUACUAAAAAAUUAUUGCACAUACAACUUGCAAUAUUAUAGAUUUUUUACAACCAAAAAGUAAAUUGAUUAAAGAAAACAUAUCUAUUGAAAAGGGUGUUGCAAAAUAGGGAAGAAGAGUAGCUAAUGUAACAACAUCUGAAUUAACAUCUAUGAUAAUGGCCAAGAAACCAAACUUCUCUACUAAUUGACAUUAAUUGUGUCUUAACGUCUAUAUAUCAUAAUUUUGCAAAAUAACUGAUGAGAAAGACUUUAAGAAAUUAAAAGACUUAGAUGUUAAUACAAUUAAAUGAUUAGAAGGGCUUUUAUGUAAUUUCACUAAAACACAAGCUGAAUUCAGUUGUACCCAAUGUUUAAUCGGAUAUCAAACAAUGUCACAUAUCAAACUUACUCCUAGUUUUAAAUGUUUAAAAGGACAUCCAAGUAAUUACAACAAAACUAAAUUAGUUAUAAUGACUCAUAUUCAAUACUCUAAUUGCACUUCAAACACUCUCACAUUUUCAAAAAAGCCCCACCCUUGCGGUUGAAAUUCAAGCCCUAAACUCAUUCUUAUAUAGUAUAAGGAUAUAAUGAGAAAUGACAGAGUUUGGUGCUAAUGUUUUAUGUCACUUUACGUACUUACAUUUUUGCCCUUAUAAAAGCUAAUUUUACUUUAAUUAUUCAAACACAUGGUGUCAAGAUAACUACUACUAUAAGCAUUAUUUAAUUUAUCAUUUAAACAUGUAUUUUUUUUCAAUGUAACUAGCCUAAGCAAUAACUACCAACAUCACAAUAAUUUUGUCAAAAUAAUUUACAAGAUUAAAAUUUUAUUUAACAAUGAACAAAUGUAUGUAAAAUUCAUUCACUAUAAAUAUUAUGUAUUUUUUUUUAUUGCACACACAUAGGCUAUUAGGUCGCGACUCGAGUAGUUUAGGCUUAAAAGCUAUUGGGCUAUCCCACACUAACACUUUGGGGUUAAUGACAUCAAAAGUUAUUCGUUCAACUAGGGGUGUCAAUGGGUCGGAUUUGGAUCUGGACCCGAUAAAUUUUUUUUGAGUUUGAAUUGAAAAAUAAUUUCGAUACUCGAACCCAGAUCUCUCUAACAAAAAAAAAAGGAGUCGGAUACGGAAUAUAGAAUUCUGACCCGUAUUUGACCCGGAUUCGAACAAUAUAUUAAUAAUUAUAAAAUGUAAAUAUUUCUAAAUAUAUUCUUUUAUCAAAUUAACAAUUUAGUAAUGACUUUAUAGAUUGAUUUGUGGUUAGUUUUGAAUUGACUAUUGCAAGUUCUUUGUGAUUUAUUUUUGUAAUUUGAUUUGUUUAAAUUUGGAGAUUGGAUUUGUGAUUGAUUUUGAAUUUAAUUUUGAACCUUUUAGACCCAGACCCGACAUGGAUUCGACUCGGAUCCGUCGGACCUGAUUCUAAAACUCUAAGAUCAAGACCCGUCGGAUAUACGGGUUGGGCUCGGGUCCAAAAUUUUCAAUUCUGGUCCAAACCCAACCUGUUGACACCCCUAGGUCCAACCCAUCCUAAUUUAAACAUUUUGGAUUUGUAGUUUAUGCCAAAAUAUUGGGUUAGCACACGUUAUUGAUAGCUUGGUUUAAACAUUAUGGGUCAAAAGUUUAGGCCCAAUCGUCAUUGCCUAACCUAUGUCCUAAGAAUUACAUAUUGACAGUAUAUAUAAAAUUAAUUUUUCUUUAUAUACAUAUUUUCUACGCUAAUUAUGUAGAAGAAUGGUACAUAUCUCAAAUUUUGCCUUAUAGUAUAAGAUUGGUUUUAUUAUGAACCCCUCAAAAUAUUACCCGUAAUUGUUGAAGGCUCGUACUAACCAAUCCAUCAGAACUACCAACCCAUCAAUUUAUUUGAUAGGCAGGCUUAGCUAUCAUAAUGCACAUAGAAAUUCAGAUUAAAAAACAUAUUAGAGUUCACAUCAAAGGCCAAUUAAUUUUAAGCAGCACAAUAAUUGUUUCUAUAGUGUAGAGAGUUUGAUCGGCUGGUUCCAUCAGGGACAACCAUUAAUGAGCAUCUGCCAAGCUCCAACAAGGAAACUAUCACAGAGAAAUUACAUGGCGUGCGACGAACAAGCAAAAGGAACAAAACACAUGAAUAAAUCAAUCCAUUAGGCUAGCAAAUUAAUUAUUUUAUUGGAUAAGACAAGUUAAAUAAUUUGACGGAUAUUAAGAUAAUUAAAAUUAUUCCAGAGGUUGAGCAGUAUCCUACAUAACUGCAGCAAAAAUGAUUUUAAGAAGAACACGACUUGCUCUGAUUAAUCUCCAAUCCAAUCCAUUUUCCAGCCCGCAAUGGCGCUCUCAAAAUUAACCAUUUCCAUAUAUUUUCUGUCGGUCGUCCUUUUUGUGCAAAUGGGCGCUGGAGAUGACCCUCUCCAGCGUCUUGGAAUUGAUUGCAGAAAAUCAAAACUACUUCCCCGCCGGCGCUGGGAGUAGAUACCGCAAGAACUUGAACAUUCUCUUGAGUCGUCUUCGGAGUAGAACCCCUGAAACAGGGUUCGCUCUUGAAUACGUGGGCACUCCAAAACAGUGGCCACGGGGUAUACGGCCGAGCAUUCUGUCGACGUGAUAUUUCGAGUGUAGAUUGCAGAGCCUGCAUUGGCGCUGCAAUUGCAUGGAUUUUCGAAAAAUGUCCAUUAAAGAAGCGCGCAGUUGCCCUGUAUGAAUGUUGCGUUCUGAUUUACACGCACAAAAAUAUUCUCCACAAAAUCGGCGACACCACCUAGCUACUACAUUUACAGAACUCAAAAUGUAACCAGCCCGGCAUCAGUAGAAACUAUAACUGAGUUUCUGGAUCAUCUGACAGUGGAGGCUAUUGCAACCAAAACUUACUUUGCUAAAGGAGAAGUUAAGCUUGCAAAAUCAGAAAGUACACUCUAUGGACUGGUUCAGUGUGCCUCGGAUAUUUCUCCAGCUGAUUGCAAGACUUGCAUGGGUGAGUUGAUGGCCCGGAUUCCUGACUAUACUGGGAAAGGAGGGCAAUUCCUCAGUGCUACUUGCACCUUGCAGUACGAGUUCUAUAGGUUCUUCAACGCUUAAAGCAAGAGGUAAUGCUUCUCUAAACAAAUGAAAUGUAGAAUCCAAAAAUUCUAACAAAAAUAUAUGGGAGAUACAUUUCAUAAAAUUAAUGCAUAUGGAGAGAUAAUUUAUACACAUAAAAAUAUGUGUUGGAGAAAAGAAAUAAUAUUAAUAAUAAUCUAUUAAUCACAUCAUAAGAACAAAGCUUUCACUCGUUGACAAUCCUUUACUCUUCUCAACUAAACACAAUAAUAUGACUCUCUAUUUAUAAACUAGAAAACUUGAUAAACAAGUCUUAUAACCAUAAAAAUUUACUAAUCAGAUACUAAUUUUAAAUAAUAAAACUAUCAUAACUUGACUCCAACAGAAUUACUAAAACCCUAACUUGACUAAAACACUACUAAAUAAUAAUAUGGAAAGUUUUAAUUUUUAGUCUUGAUUUAGUGUGCCAACAUGAAAGGUCCAAAUCAAACACUGCUUUAGGUGUUGUUAAAAGCGACCGACUCAAGUGGACUAAAAUUACGUCUCCAAAACCAUGUACUAUUUGCUUCAUGCUAUAUGCUAUGUUUCAACUUUCAAGUUCAACGAAAUAUUAUGUCAGGUAAUUAAUUGGUAAUCAGAGUUGCAUUAUGAAAUUAGCUUCUAAUUAUUUCCAAAACAGAUGCUGGCAUUACAUUAAGUGAGUCUUGAAACUAGGAUGAAUCUGCCGCGACAGAACCAAAAAUUUUACUUUGGAGGAGCUACUUCUAGUUUUUUUAAGCUUUAAUCAUGAAAGUUUCUAAAACUUAUGGAAAAUUUGAAAUUUUUUUAGUUUUUAAAAAUAAAAAACAUAAAUUUUUAAGACUUGUACAGGCGAUUUCCCUACCCAAUGCCCAUUAGUUCCAUCCUUGAUGAUGUGGGAACUCAAAAAAUUUUAGUGAAAUUUGCAAAAUCACAUUCACUUGUUUAUAUUUUUGUUUCCUUAACACCAACAAGGGAUGCAAGUUAUGCUCCUACACGCGUUGGUCAAUUUUAGCGAAACACCAUUUACCAAAAAAUCUGUUUUUCAGUUGUAUUAAAUUGUUCCCCCUUAUGGUUCCUUUGAUGUAAAAAUAUGAAUUAUUAUUGGCUGUAAGGGCUCCAUCUAAUAAUAAGAUGGUUGAUAUUCUACUUUAUUAUAGCAUUAAGCCUUUUUUUUUUUCAGUGUAAGUAGGAAGGUUCAAGUUGGAGUCUCUCACUUACAUUCUCUUUCUGGAAACCACCUAAUCCAAUCCAAUCCUCCCUCCAAUCCAAUCCAUGAAAAUUUGCGAAGCUUUCUAAUGCUGCGUCACCUAAAUUUUGUGGUAAUGUAGUAAAUUUUUACAAAAAAAUUCUAAACAUUAUGCUAUACGUUUCAACUAUAAAUGAAUUGGUUUUUGGUAAACAAGGAAUACAAUCCACCAAAACAGACUGAUUAGAAGUAAAUUAUUACAUAUAUUAUCCUCAAUAAGUUACUCUAUGAAAAAAAAAAAAACAGGUAUGCCACUUAUAACAUUAUUUUGCUUUCACCUUUAAUUAAGGAAUCUUGUUUGGGAGAUUAAUAAUGGCAUGUACGGAGUAUAUGGCAAGCAUGAGUUUACGAUGUUAUUUGCUAAAUCAAAAUCUACGAAUAAUUGAAAGACUAGUCAAACCCACGUUUUCUAGAGAAGCAAAUGAUUGCAGUGGGCUUAGACCACCACAGAUCCUAGUUCAAGCUACAAGAGACACAUAGUAAAUUGUGGAGAGAAAAGGUUAGAUAGAAAAGGAAACGAAAAAAUUGUCUAGAUUGAUCAGUUUAGAAGACGAGAACAUUCAAAAGGAAAGUAAAGCAACCAAGUUUUCGAGUUUUCACCUGAGCUGAGUAAGAUGAGAUUGUUAAUCUGUUAGGAAAACUUAUGUUUUUUGCUUGAAGAGGGUAUAAAUUCAGGAUUUAAGUAGACAUAAUGAUUGAGAUAAUUACUGACAUUUGUAUAUCAGCUUAUUUUGACAUGCUAAUUUUCUUGAGAUUAACUAAAUCGAUUUUUCCCCCUUCUUAGUGUCCCAAAACAAAAGAUUACUUGCAGAGGCGAGUUCUAGUAAUUGUCACUUAAUGCCAAUUUUUUUUUUUUUUAUUAAUACAGGGGUAUCCCAGUUUACGCUAGACUAAUCCUCCAGCGGGCAUGCACCUCGGCCCAAGGAUACACAACUGGUAGAAGGGGACUCAAACUCACGAUCAUUAGGUUCGUAACUACUAGCCUACGAUCAUCCGAGCCAACACCCUGGGGCUGUCACUUAAAGCCGUUUGAAAGACUAAAGUUCCACAUAAAUGAAACGAUCAUGAGUAAACAUUUUAAAUUUGAGAAUUUUGCAGUAAUAAUUUCUCUGAAGCUACCUCAUCUAGACAAAACAUUUCCCCUUGGACAAUUAAAUUUCUAAUUUGUGAGGAAGAGAUCCCAGGGAUAUCAGUGUUACAUACUUAUCCUAGACUGAUUUCAAUCAUGCCCUUGUGACUUAGUUUUGGAUUCUGCUCAGCUUAUUUCACUAUUCACAGUCUAUUUUUUGAGCAUGGAUAGUCUUUUUUUUUUUUUUCCGAUAAGUGAUUUUAUAUCAUGAAAUAAUCUUUACAAAAUCAAGCAAAGGCUCGAUAACUAAAUACAACCAGUGCACAAUAGCACUGAUUAUUUGAGCAUGGAUAGUCAGUGGAGCAAAUUAUCUGAAUAAUCACUGAACUUUUUUAAUAGCAAAGUUUUAGCCAUUUAAUUUUUAAAAGUUUGUAUUUACUUACCUACUAAACUAUCAAAUAUAUAAAUUUUAGACUAUUUUGUCUAUUUUCACCUUUUAAAUCUAUCAUAUCUAAAGACCGGACGUGUCACCAGACAUAAUCAAAUAUGGCAGACUUAACAUUGAAAAACAGACAAAAUGGUUUAAAAUUUAUACUUUUAAUAGUUAGUUGGUAAAUAUACACUCUUGAAAAUUGAGUGGCCAAAAUUAUAUUAUUUAAAAGGUUCAAUGGCUAUCCGGAUAAUUUGUUAUAGUCAGUUUAUGUGGUAGUGUGUCAAUUGGUUUAUUCUGUCGCUCUUUUCUUGUAUUGAUUGAGGGAUACCCUCCGGUUGUGCAUGCUACAUUUUUUAUAUCAACCAAAAAAAAAAAAAAAAAAAAAGAAGAAGAAGAAGAGGAGCUCCACAAUGCUCGUUAUAAUUGCCAAGCAGGCUCGUUCGGUUAAUCCACUCCAGGACAACCAUUAAUGAGUAUCAACUGAGCUCUAAUUAUGAAGCUCUAACGAAGGCAAUACAAAGCCGGCGACAAUCUCAGGCUUCUGUCCAAAUACUUUUCUGGACCGAAAUAUGUGUAAUGCGUACAUUUGCAACCUGCUGAAAGGAAAAGCCAAGAACCUAAUACUAAAGUGAGUAACAUUGAAAGAGAAAGUAUUCCAAAGGAUGAUUAUUUAACUUAUUUGAGCUCUAUACAAAUGCUGCAAUAAGACUAAAAAAUAUGUGAAUUAUGUUAAUUGGAUAACACUUUGGAACAAAAAAAAAAUGAUGUUGAGGAGGAGUAGAGUACUAUAUAACUGCAGCAAAUGAGAUUUAAAAUGAACACAACUUCCUCCAAUCUCCAAUCCAUCUUCCAGCUAGCGAUGGCAAUCUCACAAUUAACCAUUUCCAUCUUUGUAAUUCUGUCCGUUGCCCUUUUCGUGCAAAUGGGGGCUGGAGACGAUCCUCUCAAGCGUAUUGGAGCUGACUGCAGAAAUUCUAACCACUUUCCUGCCAGGAGUAAAUACCACAAGAACUUGAGCAUUCUCUUGAAUGAUCUUCAGAAUAAAACUCCUGAUACAGGGUUCGCUCUUGAAUUCGUGGGCGAGCCGAAAACUGGUCGCGGGGUAUACGGCCGAUCUUUCUGUCGUGGUGAUAUUUCAAGAACAGAAUGCAAAGCCUGUGUUGGGGCUGUAAUUGCAAGGAUUCUCGAAAAGUGUCCAUUAAAGAAAGGCGCGGUUGGUCUCUCUGAAAUUUGUUCGCUGAUUUACUCGCACAGAGAUAUCUUCCACAAAUACAUAGUUGACACGUACUACAUUUCUAGAGGUCGGAAUAUAAGCAUCUCCGCACCAGUAGAAACUAUAACCAAGUUUGUGAACAAUCUAACAGACAAGGCUAUUGCAACCAAAACGUUCUUUGCUACAGGAGACGUUAAGCUUGCAGAUGAAUCAGGGAAUACAAUCUAUGGACUGGUUCAGUGUGCCUUGGACCUUUCUCCAGCUGAUUGCAAGAGUUGCAUUGCUGGGAUGUUGGAACGGAUCCCUGAUUUUACUCCCAGGGGAGGUCGAUUCGUCAGUGCAGCUUGCACUUUGCAAUACGAGUUUUACCAGUUCUUUAUUGCUUAAAAAGCAAAUUAGGAGACUAUGCUUCUUAAUAAAACGCCGAAUGUAACGCACAAUUAAGGUGCUAUAAGCAGUAGCACUUGUGGGUUGUGGCUAAUUUACAUAUCUCUAAGACCAUUUACUCUCUUUCUUUUUUGAAUAGUAGAGACGAGGCAUAAGAUUUAAGAUGCGGAAAGAGGGAAGCUACUGUUUGCUUGAUGCUAUAUGUUGUGUUCCAAGUUUCGAGUACAAUGAAAAAUAGCAGAUACUUGUUAAUCUGAGCUUGCUUAUGGAAUUAGCUUCUAGUUUCUUUUUUUUUUUCAAAAAAAAAAAAAAUCUAUAUUCUAAAAUGGUUCCUGAAACUACAUUUACAAGCAAUGCAGGUUUUGCUCCUACAUGUGCUGGUCACAUCUUAAAACUACUUAAGCUGUACAAGAAAAGUCCAUUUCUCAGUUGGAUUGAAUUGUCCUGGUUGUGGUUGUUUAAUUUCUUGUGUUUUUGUUUGAAAUUCUCGGGAAGAAUAUUAAGUCAUUUGGCUGUACGGUCUCACUUCCAAGUUAGGCUUUUAGCAAUCUAAUUUUCCCUUAGGCAAUUAGAUUUGUAAUUAGUGAUAUACAAUAUCCUUGCAAAUACGUGCCGUGGAAGAAUCAGAGAUUGAGAAUUAAUGUAGUUAACAAUAAUGUGCCUAUAGCCUUUGAAAAUUUGAAGUUAACAUUUUGAGGUGGCAAAAUGUAAUUUUCUCCACUACGUACAUAUCCUAAGUUUUUUAUUUUUCAAAACAAAAUUGUAAAUUUCAAAAUCUUUGGAAGGAAGGUGGCCUAACCUUCAUUUGUUAAUUAAGAAACCUAUUCCUGUCAAGAUUGGAGUGGGAGAGCUCAUACCUCUCCAUUGGAAUUUGUUUUUGGAAAGUUGUAUAGGGACCUACUUUAGCUAAUACUAAUUACUAAAGACGUGAUAAUUGUUUAGCAAAAUAAAUUAAUUUCUGAACAUUCAGGAAUGCGGAGUUAGAUUUCCAAAUCUGAAUCGAAGCGAUAGAGGACAAGAGGUAUUUUAAUAUCUAUGGAAAGUAAUAUUGUGAAAGCUUGUAUAUGUUUUCAACUCUCAAAAUCACAGCGUAUAACUAUGUGAUUAUCUAAUAAAAAUUGAUAAUUUAAAUAUUUGCAUGUGUUUGUGAUUAGUAAAACAUUUUCGCGAGUAUUUAGCACUCCAAGUGAUACAAAUAACAAUCGAGGACUUUUAUAUAUGAUUGUUACCAUAUCUGUGGUACUACUACAAUCAAUCCUUGUGAUUAUUAUUAUUUUUUUUUGUCAACACAGGGGUGUCCGGGUCAAUUCUUACGAGACCCGAUUAAUCCUCCGCGACCCGGGCCCGUACGAUAAGUGCACGGAGGAAUAGCCAGAGACUCGAUCUUGGGAUGAUCACCAGAGGAACGACAAUCUAAAUCGUGCCUUGCCCGAGCCUGUUUAUGCUUCCCAUUGAAAGGUUUGCUUAUCCGGACUCCUUUGGGGUCAUGCAGGUGUUCGCAUCUUGUUCUUCACAUGUAGCGGAGGGGUUAUCCUCUGGACCAGCCCUUGUAAUUGGACCGGGCCACAAUUUUUCUGCGUUCAAAAAAAAUUUUUUUUUUCUAGCUAGGCUGCUGGGCAAUAAAUUUAAACUCUGUUUGAUAACAGAAUUCAGCACUUAAACUUAAUAAAUUAAGAUUUUAAUAUGUUUAGACGCGUUUGAUAAGCAAAAAUUGAAUAUUUGAAUUAAAUAAAUGGCACUGAAUUUUCUAGACAAAAUUUGCUCCCAAUAAUAAGUGAUAAACUAUUCACUUAUCAUUUAAUGUGAUAUACACUCAAAUGUAUCAAAUUUAGUAUUUAACAAUUCAAUAACUUAAUGAAUUCAGAUUUCAAAUUUCGAUUCUCAGAUUUUAAUUUUAUCAAAUGCAUCCUUAGUCUUCCUGCGUUGCUAUCGUUUAUCUCGAAGGCAAAAUUGAUCUUUGGUUUUAUUGUCACACAGAAUUUUCCCAAAUCAACCAGUGAGCCACAUAGCCGAUUGAUUGACGAGGCAAUGCAAUUUUGUUGUCAUCGAUCAUUUGUUCAAGGCAAAUGAUAUUGAUGGAGUAUUUUUGGAGUUUUAUAGUGUAAUAUUUUAGAUUUGUAGCAUUUAAUAUUCAUUCUUCAAAUCUGUUUGUAUUUGUAUAUGGUUGGUGUAAUUUGUGUUAUUAAUACAAAUUUAAUGAAAUGAUGAUGUUUUUAUUAAAGAAAAAAAAGAGAAUGUUUUUUUCUGCAAGAAUUAUUGUUGAAAAUGAUAGAAACUAUGCUUUUUUCAAAUCCAAAUGCAUUUAGACUUGGAAGGACAAUUUUGACAUUUUAUUUAAUAAUACACGCGGAAAUAAAAUUCAAAUUGUGGCAUUUUGUUUUUAAUAAAAAAUUUCAAGUUGUUGCGUUAACUCCACUAUGUGGUCCACAACGGAUCCUCAAGCCCACUUUCUGUGCCACUCCCUGUUCUUUUUUUUGUUGGUUAUAUUGCUAUAUAUUUCUCCUUCAUAAAUAUCAUAUUUUAGUUCAUUUUUGUUUACUUAAAAUCCAAAAACUAUUAAAUGAGUAAUACACAAAUUUUAAUAAACUCAAAACAUCAAAAUGCAUAAAAAAACGAGAUUUUUUAUGAAUUUUUUGCUGUAUCUUUUAAUUUUCUAUUAUAUAUUGCUUUUUUUGAUAUUGUUGUAUUUAUGUUUUUACCUAGUUAUUAGUUAUUGAAUAUUAAAAAAACAAAAAAAAACUGAAAACUUAUGUUUAUGAAAAAGAAAUAAUAAUAUAACAAAAGUUGGAAUAGAGAGCGACGCAGGAAAGUGUGAAACCGAAGAUUCCUAGGCCCUUUGGUCAAUUUGAACCUGAUGGCAUUUUCAACAUCGGCUUGCUCACACGUUGAUCUACGUAGAUCUGGUAACUACUAGUACAACUGAUGAUGGUUGAUGAUCGACUCACACGAUAUACGCAAAAAGAAAAAUCCCAUAGUUGGCGUAGAAAAGUAGCAGUGCCAUAAUAUCCCAAGAGUUUGGGCAGCAAUUAAUUGGUUUCCUGAAACCACAAGUUGCACCGGACCACGAAUCCACGAAGAUUGAAUCCUCCAAUAUAUUCUAAGAUCCCAUUUUCCAUUUUGCACCUCAAGAUAAAGUUGAAUGAAAAUUCCAGUCAAGAUAGCAAAAAAAAAUGCACUUCUUCCUUUCUAUUACGAGUCUUUUCUUUCAAGUUACCACAUCUUCCUCCGCCUCCGCCUCCGCCUCCGCCGUCUGUCGACUAUUCUUACUCACGUGUGUCAUUGCAUAUUCCAAAUAAUUAUGUCAAAAAAGAAGAAGAAGUUAUAAUGUAGUAAAAAUUAAUUGCGGUAUUAAGAAUCUUUAUUGUAGAAGCAAUCAUUUUCAGUGACGGCCGAAAGAAGAAAUUCUAUUUUCCUUUCUAAAUUGUUUCUUGUUUUUCUUCCAAUCCAUUUAUUUUGUUGCCACAAUUGAUAAAUUUGUAUUAUUUUAAAUUGGUAUGUAUUGCGUUCUAGUUCUAAAAUCCAACUUAAUUGGUAGCAAAGUAUGUCUCGACUCUCAAGUUCCCCUUUUCCGCUUGUUAAGCUUAGAAUCUCCUAAAUUGGAACCAUCUUAAAAGUGAGGAGAUGAAAAAUAUAUAUAUAGAUACAUGCUGGCUAACAUUCUUUCACAAUUAAAAGUCAUGGUGUAAAAGGUUGCCCGACUACGAAAAGAAUCCUAAUGCCAAUCAAAUGGUAGAAUUCAGUGGAUAUACCUUCAUCGACGUUUAUGCAUACCCAAAAUCUAAUACUUAUGUGGUUUUGAUGUACUUUAUUUAAAUUGUACUCUCCAAAAAAUAAAAAAAAAAGUAAUAGUAUUAGAUUUGAAUGGAAGAUUCAACCCUACAACAUUUUAAGGCCCUAAUGCAUAGUUUUGUCUCAUUUUGCACCUCAAGAUAAAGAUGAAUGAAAAUUCUAGUCAGAAAGAAAAAAGGGCACUUCUCUUCCAUCCCAAAAAUUGAAGUCAGAAAGAAAGAAAACUUUAAAAAAUCUUUUGUUUACUGGGCAUGCAUGCAUUGGGUAACUAGUUACGUUAUUGCUCAGAGUCAUUAAGUCUCAUUUCGUACUAAUUUCCUAAUUUUUCUGGCAUAACAAAUGAUGUUGAUAUGAUAGAGUCCAGUCAAAUGUUGAAGUUGGAAAAAGAGAAUGAGGAUGGAAAUGGGGAAAAUUCGACUAAUGAAGCCGAGAAAGAAAAAGACUGAGGAAGCCAUGCAAGAAAUGUGGAAUCAAACUCUAUAAAUACCCAAACCUGAUGCAGAAAUCAGCACUGAACAGUUCUCUCAGUCAUUCUUAUUUUCUCUUCCAACUUCCUAUUCCUUAAAACUUUCUUUGCUCAGUCCCGAUCGACUAAUAUUCAGCACCGAUGGAGAAGACUGCCAAGUCGGUUCUGCAGCUUCCAACUUACGGAAACACCGUCACAAUUCUCAGCAUUGAUGGUGGAGGGAUCAGAGGAAUCAUCCCUAGCGUAAUCCUUGGAUUUUUAGAGUCUGAGCUUCAGGUACCUUACAAAAAGUCUUCGAUAUCAUGAUGCCACGCAUGGGUGCAUUUUUUUUUUUUUAAUUGACGAUUUCCAUAUUGGUCUUCUUUCUACGUUGUUUUAGCGUGUAAGCUAUUUUUGGGACGGACGGAUUUCAUUACUUUGGUUUGGGGUUUUCGCAGAAAUUGGAUGGUAAAGAUGCAAGACUUGCUGACUACUUCGAUGUGAUUGCCGGAACAAGCACUGGUGGCCUUGUGACUGCUAUGCUAACUGCCCCUAAUGAAAAUAACCGCCCCCUUUAUGCUGCCAAAGAUAUCAAGGACUUCUAUCUUGAAAAUUGUCCUAAAAUCUUCCCCCAAGAGAGGUAAAUAAUUAUACUAACCCCAUUCAUUAGAAUGGAUCCCGUUUAAGUAAGUUGCUAGUUCAUGAUGGGAGCUGUACUUAACAUGACUCUUUUUUGACCAUUAAAUGAGCAGCAAUUUCUUGGGUCAAGCUCAACAAGAACUUAGGCUUCUAUCAGGACCCAAAUACGAUGGCAAGUAUCUCCAUAAUUUGCUACAACAAAAAGUGGGAAAAACAAAGUUGCACCAAACAUUGACUAAUGUUGUCAUUCCAACGUUUGAUAUCAAGCUACUCCAGCCUACCAUUUUCUCUAGCUAUGCGGUUCGUGUUAAUUAGUCAGACCUUAAAUUCCUUUUUAGACUUGCUUUGCUAUUUCAUUUCAGCUCGUUGUCUUUUACUUCGGAUCACAAGUAAUUAGUGUGAAUCUUCAUUCGUGAUCAGAUCAAGAAUGAGCCAAGUCUAGACGGUGUGCUCUCUGAUAUAUGCACUGGAACUUCAGCUGCUCCCACUUUCCUUCCGGCCCAUCAUUUUGAAACCAAAAAUUCUGAUGGGAGCAAGAGAGAAUUCAAUCUCGUUGAUGGUGGAGUUGCAGCAAAUAAUCCGGUACUUUCCAUAUCAAAAUUUGUUUGUCAACAUGGAGACUCUUUUUUAACUUCCUGCACUUUCUUAUGAAUCCCUCUGAAUUAUUAAUCAUGUGUUCUCUAAUUAAUUCAGACUUUGGUUGCCAUGAACCAAGUGACCAGGGAGAUAAGCAAAGGAAAUUCCGACUUUUCUCCCAUGAAGCCUCUGGAAUUUGACCGGUUUCUUGUCCUAUCUCUGGGAACUGGUACAGCAAAAAUUGAACAGAAAUAUGAUGCAGACAACGCAGCCAAGUGGGGCAUAUUGGCUUGGCUAGUCAAUGGUGGUUCAUCUCCACUAGUAGACGUCUUCACCGAAGCAAGCAGUGACAUGGUCGAUUUUCACCUUGCUACAAUCUUUCAAACCCUCCAAUGUGAAGCCAAUUACCUACGCAUUCAGGUAACAAUUCACCUUCAUUAGGCGCUAACAAUUUAAUAUACAAUUAGAUGAAAAAAA
rnacentral:lncRNA from 1 species